UAGGGAAUAUUGCAAAAUGGGCGAAAGCCCGAUGCAGCAACGCCGCGUGGGCGAUGACGGCCUUCGGGUCGUAAAGCCCUUUUUGAGGGGAUGAGGAAGGACAGUACCCUCAGAAUAAGCCUCGGCUAACUACGUGCCAGCAGCCGCGGUAAAACGUAGGAGGCGAGCGUUAUCCGGAUUUACUGGGCGUAAAGCGCGUGCAGGCGGAUUGGAGAGUUGGAUGUGAAAGCUCCCGGCUUAACUGGGAGAGGUCGUUCAAUACUUCCAGUCUUGAGUGCAGUAGAGGGAAGUGGAAUUCCGGGUGUAGUGGUGAAAUGCGUAGAUAUCCGGAGGAACACCAGUGGCGAAAGCGGCUUCCUGGACUGUAACUGACGCUCAGACGCGAAAGCUAGGGUAGCAAACG
rnacentral:rRNA from 1 species